GUCGAUAUGUUCGAGUAGUUAAGGAGAUAGACUUGAAAUCUAUUGGGCUUUGCUUGCGCAGGUUCGAAUCCUGUUGUUGACG
rfam:Ipomoea nil DNA, scaffold: scaffold1961, cultivar: Tokyo-kokei standard.